rnacentral:lncRNA from 1 species
GCACCAACAGAUUUGGGACCAGGCUACAGUUUCCUCACUUUAUAAAACACGAAGAAGAGUGCAGCUCAACUCCACAACAAAUCACCAACCGAAAACAACCUCAAGACGUGUACCAUAAGAAACACUUUACUUUGACUGCAGUACAAUCCAUAGUGCUUGAGCAUCUAGAUCAGGGAUCUCCAGCCCUGUUCCUGGAGUACAUACCUUCCUGUAGGUUUACACUCCAACCCUGUUCCUGGAGGUUUUAACUCCAACCCUGUUCCUGGAGAGAUACCCCUCCUGUAGGUUUUAACUCCAACCCUGUUCCUGGAGAGAUACCCCUCCUGUAGGUUUUAACUCCAACCCUGUUCCUGGAGAGAUACCCCUCCUGGAGGUUUUAACUCCAACCCUGUUCCUGGAGAGAUACCCUCCUGUAGGUUUUAACUCCAACCCUGUUCCUGGAGAGAUACCCUCCUGUAGGUUUUAACUCCAGCCCUGUUCCUGGAG